UUACCUCAGUAACGGCGAGUGAAGCGGUAACAGCUCAAAUUUGAAAUCUGGCUCUUUUAGGGUCCGAGUUGUAAUUUGUAGAAGAUGCUUUGGGUGUGGCUCCGGUCUAAGUUCCUUGGAACAGGACGUCAUAGAGGGUGAGAAUCCCGUAUGUGACUGGUAGCUUUCGCCCGUGUAAAGCUCUUUCGACGAGUCGAGUUGUUUGGGAAUGCAGCUCAAAAUGGGUGGUAAAUUUCAUCUAAAGCUAAAUAUUGGCCAGAGACCGAUAGCGCACAAGUAGAGUGAUCGAAAGAUGAAAAGCACUUUGGAAAGAGAGUUAAACAGUACGUGAAAUUGUUGAAAGGGAAGCGCUUGCAACCAGACUCGCAGGCCGUCGAUCAUCUCAGGUUCUCCUGGGUGCACUCGGCGGUCUUCGGGCCAGCAUCGGUUUGGGUGGUGGGAUAAAGGCCUUGGGAAUGUAGCUUCUUUCGGGGAGUGUUAUAGCCCUCGGUGCAAUGCCGCCUACCCGGACCGAGGACCGCGCUUCGGCUAGGAUGCUGGCGUAAUGGUUGUAAGCGACCCGUCUUGAAACACGGACCAAGGAGUCUAACAUCUAUGCGAGUAUUUGGGUGUCAAACCCAUAUGCGUAAUGAAAGUGAACGGAGGUGAGAACCCUUAAGGGUGCAUCAUCGACCGAUCCUGAUGUCUUCGGAUGGAUUUGAGUAAGAGCAUAGCUGUUGGGACCCGAAAGAUGGUGAACUAUGCCUAAAUAGGGUGAAGCCAGAGGAAACUCUGGUGGAGGCUCGCAGCGGUUCUGACGUGCAAAUCGAUCGUCAAAUUUGGGUAUAGGGGCGAAAGACUAAUCGAACCAUCUAGUAGCUGGUUUCCUGCCGAG
rnacentral:rRNA from 1 species